rnacentral:tRNA from 1 species
GCCUGGGUGGCUCAGUGGGUUUAGGCCUCCGACUUCGGCUCGGGUCGUGAUCUCGCAGUUUGUGGGUUCGAGCCCCACGUCGGGCU